ensembl:lncRNA
GGCAGCGCUGCCGGGCACCCGCGGGGCCGCCACCCCUUCACGGCCUCCCUCCGCACGCCCCCGCAGGGAGAACAAGCGGCAGAGAGAGGAAGCGGCACCUCAGCCGGGCUCCCUGGCUGGCCACACUGAGCUCCGAGAGCUUCUGUGCAGGAACGCUGCUCCGUGCCUUCCCUGAAGAAAAACCCGUGACGCUCAUCACCUGAUGACCUUGAUAAAGCAUUGAAGAGCCACCUGUCCGGCACCUGCCUCCAAUAUUGAUCUUGGAGCAUCGUGGCCUGAGACGAUUCUCAGGUCUCCUGUUUGCUGUUCCUAUUCGAGGCACAUCUGAAGAUGGUUAAGAAAUUAUUUUAAAACGAGUGAAAGUCCCCACCUUUCCCUGCUGUGACAAGGCAACAGGACUCCCACUGUCAAAUGUGCAGUCUUUAUGUACAAGCUUGAAAGAAAGGCUGACAGUUCAUGAGAUGACAGGGUACAAACAUGGUUAUAAAGGGACUUGCCAGUGACACAAAAAAAAAUCUUAGCAUGCUUUUGCUUUUUCCUCUAAAGAUUCCCAAGUUCUCCUCCUGUCUCUGUAUCUCAGUACGACUCCCCACGACUUGUUAAUGUGAAUUAUCACUACCAGUCCUCCAGGAGCUCGUUUCUUUUCUGUCCUGUUACUGACCUCACUGUUCACAGUGCUAUUACCUCUUUGACCCUCUACUCUGAUUUUUCUUUCCCCAUUUCCCUGUCUCCACCUCUGAAGCUGUCAUACCUGCUGUCAUAAUUCCUGCCUAUUUACUUCAGUCCUUCUCACCUGCCAUUUCAAACCUUUCUUCCCUCUUUUAAAGGCCUGUUUUCAAUUUAUUGGGUUCUUUCCACUUUCACUUCAAUGAAUUUCUAUCACCCUCUUUUGAACUUCAGUAUUUUCUUCUCCAUUUCUGCAGUUUGUUGUCUGCUGUUACUUUCUUCCCCUCCGGGCCAGCUCACCUUUCCUCUUCAGAGCUCCAACCCAUCCCUCCACCUGGUCUCUUGUGUCACGGUGAGAUCCUGGAUAUACCGCACGACACUUCCCACAGAUGGCAGCCCUCAGCCACUCCAGGCAAAGCAAAAACCUCGUAUCCACCCAAGAGCUCUGAAGAUACCAUGAAUGAAGUAAAUUGCUAACAGAAAGAUGGCACCUGCAAUUAAAGCUAACACUCACUCAAAAACUGCGUGAGAACAAAUAUAAAGGCCAAAGGAAUCAGGAUGGCAGUUUGGAAUUCACAGAGCUGCCACGUAAGUCACAUGAAGUAAUAACUGAAAUGCAUUAAAAGGAACACAAUACAAUGACUCAUUAAAUCUCUGUAUGCAAAACCGAGUCUCCAAUUUAUCAUGUACUUAGAUGGCAAGGGUCCAGAAAACUCUGCUUUAAAUCUUAGGGGAAAAAAUCAAAAGAGCUUGUAGCUAAGUGUGGUACAGACAAGAAAAUCCAUUUAUGUAGUCACAGAUGGUACAGGCAAAGGGAGGAAAGAGAACCUUCUGGAGAAGAGAAGGUUGCAUGGAGAAUUCAUAGAAACCUUCCAGUAUCUAAAAGGGGCCUUCUGGCAAGCCAGAGAGAGACUUUUCAUCUUUUCAUUCUUUUCAGGAAUUGUAGUGAUAGGGUAAGAAAUAAUGGAAAGAGGGGAAAUUUAGGUUAGCUAUUAGAAUUUUUUUUCCUUUGAUGGUGGUGAGACACUGGACCAGGUUGCCCAGGGAGGUUAUGGGUGCCCCAACCCUGGCAGUGUUCAAAGCAAGGUUGGAUAAGGCCUUGAGCAGCCUGGUCUAGUUGAGGUGUCCCUUUCCAAGGCGGGUGGUGUACAAGUAGAUGAUCUUUAAGGUUCAUUCCAACCCCUUAGCAUUCUGCUAUUCCAUGAAAACCCCGUCUCUUCAUCGCAGUAAGAGACACGGGCGGCACCACUAAACCCUGUGCCCUUUAAAACUCAUCCUCCAUAAACAGAGGAAGCAAGCAAUGAAUUACCAACAUGUGCAAACCGCAGGAACUGCUGAUGUCAUCGGGAUUAAAGAAAGGCGCCUGCCGAGGCACAACCAAGCGAGACAGCCCAGCGGCAGCACCACUCCACGGCCAGAGCGGGCGCCGGCACCGCCCGGCAGGCGGCCCGGAGAGAGCG